rnacentral:sRNA from 1 species
UUUUAGCCCUGAUGGAAACGGCAUCCUUUUGUGGCGGGGUUCGCCACAAAAGAUAUAGUGGACAGCAGGAUUAGCU